AACAGGAUUAGAUACCCUGGUAGUCCACGCCGUAAACGAUGUCGACUUGGAGGUUGUGCCCUUGAGGCGUGGCUUCCGGAGCUAACGCGUUAAGUCGACCGCCUGGGGAGUACGGCCGCAAGGUUAAAACUCAAAUGAAUUGACGGGGGCCCGCACAAGCGGUGGAGCAUGUGGUUUAAUUCGAUGCAACGCGAAGAACCUUACCUACUCUUGACAUCCAGAGAACUUUCCAGAGAUGGAUUGGUGCCUUCGGGAACUCUGAGACAGGUGCUGCAUGGCUGUCGUCAGCUCGUGUUGUGAAAUGUUGGGUUAAGUCCCGCAACGAGCGCAACCCUUAUCCUUUGUUGCCAGCGGUUAGGCCGGGAACUCAAAGGAGACUGCCAGUGAUAAACUGGAGGAAGGUGGGGAUGACGUCAAGUCAUCAUGGCCCUUACGAGUAGGGCUACACACGUGCUACAAUGGCGCAUACAAAGAGAAGCGACCUCGCGAGAGCAAGCGGACCUCAUAAAGUGCGUCGUAGUCCGGAUUGGAGUCUGCAACUCGACUCCAUGAAGUCGGAAUCGCUAGUAAUCGUGGAUCAGAAUGCCACGGUGAAUACGUUCCCGGGCCUUGUACACACCGCCCGUCACACCAUGGGAGUGGGUUGCAAAAGAAGUAGGUAGCUCAACCUUCGGGAGGGCGCUUACCACUUUGUGAUUCAUGACUGGGGUGAAGUCGUAACAAGGUAACC
rnacentral:rRNA from 1 species